UCCGUAGGUGGAUAAUUAAGUCAGAGGUGAAAUCCUGCAGCUCAACUGUAGAAUUGCCUUUGAUACUGGUUAUCUUGAGUCAUUAUGAAGUGGUUAGAAUGUGUAGUGUAGCGGUGAAAUGCAUAGAUAUUACACAGAAUACCGAUUGCGAAGGCAGAUCACUAAUAAUGUACUGACACUGAUGGACGAGAGCGUGGGGAGCGAACAGGAUUAGAUACCCUGGUAGUCC
rnacentral:rRNA from 1 species